AAUGAACGCUGGCGGCAGGCCUAACACAUGCAAGUCGAACGAGUGGCGGACGGGUGAGUAAUGUCUGGGAAACUGCCUGAUGGAGGGGGAUAACUACUGGAAACGGUAGCUAAUACCGCAUAGCAUCGGAUGGCCCCAGAUGGGAUUAGCUAGUAGGUGGGGUAAAGGCUCACCUAGGCGACGAGCCCUAGCUGGUAUGAGAGGAUGACCAGCCACACUGGAACUGAGCCACGGACCAGGCUCCUACGGGAGGCAGCAGUGUGGUAUAUGGCACAAUGGGCGCAAGCCUGAUGCAGCCAUGCCGCGUGUAUGAAGAAGGCCUUCGGUUUGUAAAGUACUUUCAGCGGGGAGGCGGUACUCGCAGAAGAAGCACCGGCUAACUCCGUGCCAGCAGCCGCGGUAAUAC
rnacentral:rRNA from 1 species